UACGGGGGGGGGCAAGCGUUGUUCGGAAUUACUGGGCGUAAAGGGCGCGUAGGCGGUUCGCUAAGUUGGAUGUGAAAACUCUGGGCUCAACCCGAGAGCCUGCAUCCAAAACUGGCGGGCUAGAGUUCUGGAGGGGGUAGCGGAAUUCCUGGUGUAGCGGUGAAAUGCGUAGAUAUCAGGAGGAACACCGGUGGCGAAGGCGGCUACCUGGACAGAAACUGACGCUGAGGCGCGAAAGCUAGGGGAGCAAACAGG
rnacentral:rRNA from 1 species